CCUACGGGAGGCAGCAGUGAGGAAUAUUGGUCAAUGGACGCAAGUCUGAACCAGCCAUGCCGCGUGCAGGAAGACGGCUCUAUGAGUUGUAAACUGCUUUUGUACGAGGGUAAACGCAGAUACGUGUAUCCGUCUGAAAGUAUCGUACGAAUAAGGAUCGGCUAACUCCGUGCCAGCAGCCGCGGUAAUACGGAGGAUUCAAGCGUUAUCCGGAUUUAUUGGGUUUAAAGGGUGCGUAGGCGGUCGGAUAAGUUAGAGGUGAAAUCCCGAGGCUCAACUUCAGAAUUGCCUCUGAUACUGUUCGGCUAGAGAGUAGUAGCGGUAGGCGGAAUGUAUGGUGUAGCGGUGAAAUGCUUAGAGAUCAUACAGAACACCGAUUGCGAAGGCAGCUUACUAGGCUACUUCUGACGUUGAGGCACGAAAGCGUGGGGAGCAAACAGGAUUAGAUACCCCAGUAGUC
rnacentral:rRNA from 1 species